GGAUCCAUAGCUCAGUUUGGUCAGAGCACUCGGCUCAUAACCGAGUGGUCGUUGGUUCAACUCCAACUGGAUCCACCA
rnacentral:tRNA from 1 species